GGUUGUGGCUCAGUAGUAGAGCACUUGCCUAGCAUGCAUGAGGCACUGGGUUCAAUCCCCUAAACCA
rnacentral:tRNA from 1 species